GACGAACGCUGGCGGCGUGCUUAACACAUGCAAGUCGAGCGGUAAGGCCCCUUCGGGAGUACACGAGCGGCGAACGGGUGAGUAACACGUGAGCAAUCUGCCCUUCUCAUCGGAAUAACAAUUGGAAACGAUGGCUAAUGCCGAAUACGACUUCCUUUCGCAUGUCAGGAAGUGGAAAGCUACGGCGGAGAAGGAUGAGCUCGCGGCCUAUCAGCUUGUUGGUGAGGUAAUGGCUCACCAAGGCGACGACGGGUAGCCGGCCUGAGAGGGUGACCGGCCACACUGGGACUGAGACACGGCCCAGACUCCUACGGGAGACAGCAGUGGGGAAUAUUGGACAAUGGGCGAAAGCCUGAUCCAGCAACGCCGCGUGAGGGAUGACGGCCUUCGGGUUGUAAACCUCUUUCAGCAGGGACGAAGCGAAAGUGACGGUACCUGCAGAAGAAGGACCGGCCAACUACGUGCCAGCCGCCGCAGUAA
rnacentral:rRNA from 1 species